AGAGUUUGAUCCUGGCUCAGAGCGAACGUUUGCGGCGGGCCUAACACAUGCAAGUCGAACGGGCUAGCAAUAGUCAGUGGCGCACGGGUGCGUAACACGUGGGUAAUCAACCCUUCAGCUUGGGAUAACGCCUUGAAAGGGGCGCUAAUACCGGAUACGGCGUGAGAGACUUCGGUCUUUCACGAGAAAGGUUCGCAAGGACCACUGAGGGACGAGCCUGCGGCCCAUCAGCUAGUUGGUGAGGUAAAAGCUCACCAAGGCUAAGACGGGUAGCUGGUCUGAGAGGAUGAUCAGCCACACUGGAACUGAGACACGGUCCAGACUCCUACGGGAGGCAGCAGUGGGGAAUAUUGCGCAAUGGGCGAAAGCCUGACGCAGCCACGCCGCGUGAGCGAUGAAGGCCUUCGGGUCGUAAAGCUCUGUGGGGAGAGAAGAAAAAAGCCCGUGAAGAGCGGGCCUUGACGGUAUCUCCUUAGCAAGCACCGGCUAACUCCGUGCCAGCAGCCGCGGUAAUACGGAGGGUGCAAACGUUGCUCGGAAUCAUUGGGCGUAAAGCGCACGUAGGCGGCUAGAUAAGUCGGGUGUGAAAGCCCUGGGCUCAACCCAGGAAGUGCAUUCGAAACUGUCUAGCUUGAAUCUCGGAGGGGGUCAGAGAAUUCCCGGUGUAGAGGUGAAAUUCGUAGAUAUCGGGAGGAAUACCAGUGGCGAAGGCGCUGACCUGGACGAAGAUUGACGCUGAGGUGCGAAAGCGCGGGGAGCAAACAGGAUUAGAUACCCUGGUAGUCCGCGCUGUAAACGAUGAGUGCUAGACGGUGGAGGUAUUGACCCCUUCGCUGUCGCAGCUAACGCGUUAAGCACUCCGCCUGGGGAGUACGGUCGCAAGACUAAAACUCAAAGGAAUUGACGGGGGCCCG
rnacentral:rRNA from 1 species